CGGGGUAUAGCUCAGCGGCUAGAGCGCUCGCUUUGGGAGCGAGAGGUCGUCCGUUCAAAUCGGAUUACCCCGA
rnacentral:tRNA from 1 species